CACUGCAGGCUCCGAUUAAGUAACUGUCCUGCUGCUUGCUUUACAAAUGGAUCUCACCGUCUGCGGACCAGCCCUGGAUCAUGGUUAGAGACGGGAAACCGUAGAUUCCGGCUUCAUGAAGUCUGCAGGUUGUGGAUGUGGAGGGAGAGGAUACAGAUGCCCGAAGAUCUUCUAGAAAUGCAGCCAUGGUCUUGAUUUAGGACCUUGGCUUCUAAACAAGCAGCACUACAUUUAUAUACCUGUCGAGAGAAAGAAAUAAAGGCAGAAUUGCAGUUACCUCAA